rnacentral:rRNA from 1 species
UUGAUCCUGGCUCAGGACGAACGCUGGCGGCGUGCUUAAAACAUGCAAGUCGAACGGACUUCUCAUGAAGCUUGCGAUUGAGAAGUUAGUGGCGGACGGGUGAGUAACGCGUGGGCAAGCUGCCCCUGACCCCGGGAUAACACCUCAAAAGGACUGCUAGAACCGUGUAUUCUUGCGGAGAGGCAUUUUUCGGCUAGGAAAGGAAACGCUCUGAGAUGGGCCCGCGUCCCUCUGUUGACUUGCCGAUGCUGGGUGUUGAGUAUGGACAAUGGGUAGCCGGCCUGAGAGGGUGAACGGCCACACUGGGACUGAGACACGGCCCAGACUCCUUAACGGAGGCACGCAGUUGGAAUUCGGCAUGUGGGCAACUUGACGAUGCAAGCGCGUGACGGAUGAGUUUCGGGAUUGUAAGCUCUUCUCCGGUACGACUAUGCGGUCACGGAGAGAAGCCACGUGCUAUACGUAGCCAGCAGCGACGGUAAGUACGUAGCGGCCAGGUUGUCCGGAAUUCAUGGGUAAGGGGGUAGGGGUGCAAGUAGAUGUGAAAUCCGGUUAACCCGAGGACCUGCAUUUAAACUGACGUGCUUGAGGGCAGGAGAGGAAAGCGAACUCCCAGAUGUAGCGGUGAAUGCGUAGUAUUGGGAGGACACCGUGGCGAGGCCUUUGUGGACUGAUACUGACGUGAGGCGUAAAGCAGGGGAGGAACGGAUUAGAUACCCGGUAGUUGGCUGUAAACGAUGGUACUAGUGUUGGAUGGUAUCACCCCUCAGUGCGCAUCUCACUCAAUAGUACCCCGCUGCGGUAGUAGCGAAGCGUUGAAAAUCAAAGGAAUUGACGGGGUCCCGCACAAGCGGUGGAGCAUGUGCUUUAAUUGGAAGCAACGCGAAGAUCCUUAGCAGGACUUGACAUCCCGUCCCAUCUUGUCAAAGCUGGAGUUCCCUUAGGGGACGCGGAGACAGUUGGUGCAUGGGUGUCGUCAGCUGCUGUGGUGUGAUGUUGGGUUAAGUCCCGCAACGAGCGCAACCCCUAUCUUUAGUUCCCAUCAUUUAGUUGGGCACUCUCGAGAGACUGCCCGUGACAAACCGGAGGAAGGUGGGGAUGACGUCAAGUCAUCAUGCCCCUUAUGUUCUGGGCUACACACGUGUUACAAUGGCCGGUACAGACCGAAGCGAAGCGGCGACGUGGAGCCAAUCGGAGAAAGCCGGUCCCUGUUCGGAUCGGAGGCUGCAACCCGCCUCCGUGAAGUCGGAAUCGCUAGUAAUCUCGGGUCAGCAUACCGAGGUGAAUACGUUCCCGGGCCUUGUACACACCGCCCGUCACACCACGAAAGUCUGCCACACCCGAAGCCGGUGGCCUAACUUGCAAAAGAGGGAGCCGUCGAAGGUGGGGCCGAU